CUCCGCCAGCGUGACUUCAUUAAUAGUCCGGAGCUGACCGCCCGCCAGCGUGUGCUGCUGCCGUUGCCGCUGCUGCUGCUCAGACAUAUCGCCAAACGGUCGGUUAGAGUUUGGUGACCUACUUCGAGGCAAAAGUUCCCGCUUCACAAACGGUUUGGUGAAGUUACUUAAGACCGGUGUUCAUUUUGAAAGAUCUAUCUCAACCCAUUUUUUCUGCAGCUGAGGCGCGAGGACACAAAACUCCAAAGGCAUGGACACAAGACACCAGUGGGAGGAGUGAGGGGUAAAUGGUGGGAAUUAAAGUGACCAGGGUGGCACCGGCUGCAGACCUUAGACCGUCCUCUGAAGUCUGAUGUGACCAUAGUGAGUCCGGAGGCAGCUGUCCAGUCAACCAUGGAGCAUGAACUGAGGAUGGGACUGUCUGUGUGGUCCAUAGUGGCCAUCGUUUGUAACUCUGUGGUGGGCGUCCUCAUCCUCAUCCUCUUUGUCGUCCUCUACAAGGCUUGCAAGGUGCCUUCACACCAAGAGAAAGUGCCAGUUUUCACAGCAGAGCCAGAGCAGAGGAGGGAACAGAGGUACCUGCUAGCUGCACCCUAAUCAUGACUUGACAUGGAGUUGAGGUGGAAACAAAAUUUAACUUUGUGGAUCUGCAAGAGGCCAAAUAUUGAGCUGCAGGAUGUUAGAAGACCAGCUGGACUCUCCUCCUCUUCAACCCCUCAUUAUUUUUGCUCAGCUUCUCCUUUUGUCUUACUGUUCACAUCUCUCCAGUCUCCACUACCAGCCCCAUCUCCUCUAUGCAAGUCAGUGGAGCUCAGAGUGAGCUAUCUGCGUUAAGAGUUGUGGCAAGACCAACAACAACAACAAGCGGGUCCAAUCCUCUUAUCUCUGCUGUGCGUCGCUGGGACUGUCCAUCUGUCAGUCUCUUUGCUUUGCUCUACACAGGCAGAUCAUGAUCGCCUCCUCUACCCCUUUCUUUUUCAUCCCUUCGUAUGAGACAACUGAAAGGACGUGGAGGAGAAAGAGCAAAGACAGAGUCAGUUGGAUAAGAAGAGUUUGGGGUGACAGGGUUGGCUGAGAGUCACAAGAACACAUUAGAGAAGAAAAAAAUUUACCACUGUGAGCUCACAAGCUGCAGACAACAGGUAGAACCCAAAAGCCUGAGAGAGUCAGGAAGGAGAGGGAUGCUGCUGGAGGAAGUGUGUGAGUAAAGACAGACAGAGAUAAAGGGCAUGUAUUUGGUGGGAAUGAUAAAGUGCAGGGGAAGACUCGCUUUGAUGUGUUGUUUACAGAAAAGGGAGCUCACGGCUCCUGCUUGACAGUCUCCCCAUUUGACACACACGUCUCUGCUUCUACCGAUCCGACUCCCACGGGAUUAAAAGUAACAGCGUCAAUGUUACUCGUGUCCCGGUGUGCCUCUCUUUCAUUUUGUGAGCUCCUCUAAAGGUUGAAUAAGAUAUUUAUAGACAGACUUCACCAGAAAUGACAGACUGACAGAACACUCACUGUCUCACAGCAACAAGUGAGUAUUGUAUUUGUUGUAGUCAAUGUACUUCAGCUACUACCUAUCAGAUACCAAGAUUGUUUUAAGGGUGGGAGAGAGAUGAGACACACCAGACUGACAAAAUGUUGAGCCAAUCAGAACUUCAGCUCCACAUCAGUGGAAUAAAUGGAAAAGAGCUGCAUUUAUGUUUUUGUCUCAUAUACAGUUUGAAUUUAGUGAAAGGGCUUUGGAAAUGUUUCUUAUUUUUGUGUUGGAGAAACAUCAGUUGAAAUCUAAUAUCAGGUAUUAGUUAACUUUAUUUUCCUUGCAGCACUUUGUGUUGUGUUUCAUUUAUGUGAUAUUUCUUGGAAAAUUACUAUGUAAUGAUGGAUACAAAACUACCGAGUUAUCUGUUAAAAUAAAAUGAAUUGAUGACAAGUUUGAUAUUUCAUCAAUAAUUCCA